AAAUGAUUUAUCAGGCUGGGAUGAAGA
rnacentral:piRNA from 1 species